rnacentral:sRNA from 1 species
AGUCUUCCAGCUCAGCAGUGUCUCGUUCCCUGGGGGACGGUAGCAGACCGACAUCUUCUGGGCCUACAGCCUGCCUCUUUUCUGCCUGGGAGUCCUGACUUCCACGAGGACCCAGACCCCACCUCAAACACAACUCCUUCUUGGAACCCAGAUCCCCUGCUCCCAGUUGACCUGCCCCACUCCUGGCUCCUUCCCAGAGCUCAGUGGUAAACAGGCAUAAAGUCCUCACCCCAGGCUGUCACUAUCUCUACCACCACUCCUCCAGUCUGGCCCCUCCUUCUUUGUCCAGCCCCAUUCUAGCACACCUGGGCAAAACUGGAUGGUGGGGUGUAAAGGGACGUGCACAGAUCUACUUACCAAGCUGGGAGCAAGCAGGAUUGGGGGCCUGGAGAAGCUGAAAGAUUAAGCAGCAGUGGGCGAGGUGCCUACUCCUGUCCUAUGCCUAUCACAUUUGCAGAGGGUAAGGCAAGAAUGGGGAGGGACAAGAUGAGGCUCAUCCUGGGCCUCUCCUGGGGCACCUCCCUCA